GAGACAGUCAACAACACAAAAGCAUGAGAUGCUCUGCAGCAACAGUUCUCCAGGGCUGAGAUCAAGUCCUGUCUCCUCUCUAAUCCAACGCCCGUCAUUCGCACUGACAGAAGUGAACCUUCAGAAUCCAAGAGUCAUUCGCCAGAAAUGUUACAAGAGCAAAGUUAAUUCUGCCUGUCUGCCCCAAGUGAAUGAAGGUAGGAGUCUCUCACUCUGAAAACAAACAAGAACCUUUCCAGAGAGUUUGAUCAUCUUUUAAGAUUCGGUCCACACCAUCAUCCGCCCAUUUUCAGGAGAAGAAAAGUUCCGCCCCACCCACUGAUGAGCUGGGAAGCCUCCUGUCUCAGUUAGGUUCUCCUGGAAGCCAUGAACACGCUGGUGUCUUUGCACGUUCUUUCUCUCCUCCCUGACUCCGUCUAAGCAGAUUGAAAACUUAGUUUCUGAGCCCUGAAGCAAACAGAGAAGAGCAGCCAGCCUCCCGCGGAAGCUCUUCACAGUCUCCCAGGGAUUUCCAGUCAUGGCCAACAUCUUUGUUACAGGACGGAAUCCAGCAACCACUCGCAACCUUAGCAUAAAGCAGUAGCCAAGUCUUACGGGCUAGUUACGAAUAUCAGAUGUGCGGUGACUAUCCACGGGCUUAGAGUGAGUUGGGCAUAUUUAAGUUAUGAAAGAUGUGUUUAUUUCCCCUGGACCCCAAAUAAAUGUCAGCGACAGCUCCAA
ensembl:lincRNA 2310020H05Rik RIKEN cDNA 2310020H05 gene